GACGAACGCUGGCGGCGUGCUUAACACAUGCAAGUCGAACGCUGAAGCUCAGCUUUUGUUGGGUGGAUGAGUGGCGAACGGGUGAGUAACACGUGAGUAACCUGCCCCCUUCUUUGGGAUAACGCCCGGAAACGGGUGCUAAUACUGGAUAUUCACUGGUCUUCGCAUGGGGGUUGGUGGAAAGGGUUUUUCUGGUGGGGGAUGGGCUCGCGGCCUAUCAGCUGGUUGGUGGGGUGAUGGCCUACCAAGGCUUUGACGGGUAGCCGGCCUGAGAGGGUGACCGGUCACAUUGGGACUGAGAUACGGCCCAGACUCCUACGGGGGGCAGCAGUGGGGAAUAUUGCACAAUGGGCGCAAGCCUGAUGCAGCGACGCCGCGUGAGGGGUGGAGGCCUUCGGGUUGUGAACCUCUUUCGCUCAUGGUCAAGCCGCAACAAUGGUUGUGGUGAGGGUAGUGGGUAAAGAAGCGCCGGCUAACUACGUG
rnacentral:rRNA from 1 species